UGCAUAUGUGUUGAGCAAUGUGACAUGACUUAAAAAAUUGCACUUUGCACUGUAAUCCAACUGAAAGAUCUGUGACAAACAUUUUCGAUGGUGAAUUGAAUCUACACCAGGACCAAGCUGGAAGUGUCACACAUGCUGAUGAGAACUUCAUCCAGGCGUCAUCAUCGGAAUGACUAAAUUCUUGGCAUCCGUCACUCCAGUCGUUGGAUGGAUGGAUUACCUUCUAGACCCCAAUAGUUAACCGGAUUCGCUUUUAAUCAAACACAUCUGGGUUAAAUGGGUUCCAAACAAUCAACGGAAAAUUCGAUCGUCCAUUUCUUCGGAAUACUUGUUUGCCAUCCCCUGGGUAAGACCAAACGCUGACAGUGCCAUCAUCAGAACCAGC